rnacentral:rRNA from 1 species
UACGGAGGGUGCGAGCGUUGUCCGGAAUCAUUGGGCGUAAAGGGCGCGUAGGUGGCCUGCUAAGCGUGCGGUGAAAGCUCGGGGCUCAACCCCGAGUCGGCCGUGCGAACUGGAGGGCUUGAGCACUGUAGAGGCAGGCGGAAUUCCGGGUGUAGCGGUGGAAUGCGUAGAGAUUCGGAAGAACACCGGUGGCGAAGGCGGCCUGCUGGGCAGUAGCUGACACUGAGGCGCGAAAGCGUGGGGAGCAAACAGG